GAAUGAAACUUUUGUCCUCUGGAAGAGGAACAAUUGCUCUUAACCACUGAACAAUCUCUGGAGCCCUAAUUUUAAAAGUUUAAUGGGAAUAAUAAUAUUAACCACCUUAUGAGAUUAUUGUAAUAACCAGAGAGGUACCAUAGAAGACCAUGAGUCCUACACAUUUGGCUUAUUGAAAUGAAGUAGAGCUGAGCAGUGGUGACCCGUGCCUUUAAUCCCAGCACUCGGGAGUCAGAGGCAGGCGGAUUUCUGAUUUCGAGGCCAGCCUGGUCUACAGAGUGAGCUCCAGGACAGCCAGGGCUACACAGAAACACCCUGUCUUGAAAAACCAAAAAAAAAAAAAAAAAAAGGAAGUCUUGGAGUCCACUUGUAAAGCAUAAGUUUCCUUGUUGGUAUAACAAGUGGUUACUAAAGUUGUUACUAAUUGCUUCAGAUAACACAUUUUGGGCUAGAAGGUGUCUCAGAAGGUAAAGGCACUGUGCAGGACAUCCUGAGUUUGAGUCCCAGAACCCACAUGGGGCCAAUGAAAUAUUUAAGUACAAAUAAACAUAUGAAUCUAUGGGAGCCAUUCUCAUUCUGGUCACUACACUAGCCUUGAACUAGCUUUGAAAAUAAAUAAUUUUAAGUCUAAAUCCUCCUACCUUUCUUUCAAGUUCUGGGAUUUACAAGGGUAUACCACUAUGCCAGUCUCUCUUCCAAUCUGAAUUCCCCAUUGACACAUCCCUGGAUGCCUUUGUCCAAGUAUACAUUUCUGAACACAACUGAGACUGUAUUUUCAGCAGGGGAUGGAGGUGUGUGUCUGUAUCCUAAGCACUUGGGAGGCUGAGACUGUAGUGAGUUUGAGGUGAGCCUAGGCUACAUAGUUCCAGCUUUCUCAGCCUCUUCCCAACUCCCAAAAGAAGCUAUUAGAAGUAUCAGAAGCCCAGACUUUAACAAACUUGUACCCACUACCCCUGUGCUUUUCUAGUCUGAUACUGGAAUGAGACUGUGCUAGCUAGUGUUUUGCUAACUUGACACAAGCUAGUAUUAUCUGGGGAGUGGGAACCUCUGUAGUAUUAAUAAUUAAAUAAAUCCUGGCACAUGCUUCCUUACCACCGUAGACCAUUUAUGUUCCUGGAUGAAAGAAACACACACAGCCUUUAUAUUUAAUAUACUUUGAAUAGCCUGUCAACUGUCUAACCUUCAUGCUGUUAGUAUCUACCUCCCAUUGAUAACUCCAAGUUACAACUUACUCAUUUCUAUGUUCAAUCUUUGCUGCUCUUGACCCAAUUGAACAGCCCUCUUGACUGAGUUCUCUUGGCCUUUUUACAUGGCUGCUCUGAUUCUCCCUCCUGCACAUUCUUCUUUAAUGGCCUCUCUCCUCUCCUGUACACUCUGCUAAGCAUAGUGGCUCCCUCUCCUCCCACUGCUGCACCUCACCUAAGGGAUGGCCGCUCUCCUCCUUCCUCCUGCUUCCUCAGGAUCUCAAGCUCAGGAACUCUAAAUCCUGCUUCUCACUCCUCCCCAGCUACUGGCUGCUGGCAUCCAUAUUUACCAAUCAGAAUUAACUGGGGGCAGGUUCCCAGAAGCUAUUCCUGACU
rnacentral:lncRNA from 1 species